rnacentral:rRNA from 1 species
GACGAACGCUGGCGGCGUGCUUAACACAUGCAAGUCGAACGGAGCGAAUGAAAGCUUGCUUUUAUAAGCUUAGUGGCAAACGGGUGAGUAACACGUAGACAACCUGCCGACAGGAUGGGGACAACAUUCCGAAAGGAAUGCUAAUACCGAAUGAAGUGCAGGGGAGGCAUCUCCCCUGCAUGAAAGAUGGCCUCUGAAUAUGCUAUUACCUGUUGAUGGGUCUGCGUCUGAUUAGCUGGUAGGUGAGGUAACGGCUCACCUAGGCGACGAUCAGUAGCCGGUCUGAGAGGAUGAACGGCCACAUUGGGACUGAGACACGGCCCAGACUCCUACGGGAGGCAGCAGUGGGGAAUCUUCCGCAAUGGGCGCAAGCCUGACGGAGCAACGCCGCGUGAGUGAAGAAGGUCUUCGGAUCGUAAAAGCUCUGUUGAUGGGGGACGAAACGUGCCCUAAAUGCGAAAUAGUUUAAGG